GAUGAACGCUAGCUACAGGCUUAACACAUGCAAGUCGAGGGGCAGCGCAGUGUAGCAAUACAUGGGCGGCGACCGGCGCACGGGUGCGUAACGCGUAUCCAACCUUCCCGUUACUCAGGGAUAGCCUUCCGAAAGGGAGAUUAAUACCUGAUGGUGUUCAAAUUCCGCAUGUUAUUUGAACUAAAGAUUUAUCGGUAACGGAUGGGGAUGCGUGACAUUAGAUAGUAGGCGGGGUAACGGCCCACCUAGUCUACGAUGUCUAGGGGUUCUGAGAGGAAGGUCCCCCACACUGGGACUGAGACACGGUCCAGACUCCUACGGGAGGCAGCAGUGAGGAAUAUUGGUCAAUGGUCGGAAGACUGAACCAGCCAAGUAGCGUGAAGGAUGAAGGUUCUAUGGAUUGUAAACUUCUUUUAUACGGGAAUAAAACCACCUACGUGUAGGUGCUUGUAUGUACCGUAUGAAUAAGCAUCGGCUAACUCCGUGCCAGCAGCCGCAGUAAGAC
rnacentral:rRNA from 1 species